CAACAAGUGAAGAAAAACAUGUGUUCACAUUAAUAUUGUUCAUCAGCAAAGGAACAUGCACCAGGUUAUCUUCUGGUUGGUACUUCAGCACCCUGGCAGGUCCCUGAGGUCCUGUGAUCUGGUCCUGCAGAUGGAUCCCCAUACUAACCUGAAAACAAAUGGAAACAGAGCGUUCUGUUUAGUGGCUCAGAAACUCUGGAACUUUCUUCCUUUGGACCUGAGAUUAGCGGACUCUGUUGUCUCUUUUAAAGCCCAGUGAGGGGAUGAAAACCAUAAGUGUGAGCGGGUUAGCUGUGGUCCUGAAUCCCACAAUGCAAAUUCAAAGACUCCAUCAGGUGGUCAAGAAGCUCUUCAUUUCCUGAAGUGGUGAUCCCAUCUGGAUGGAGGAGCUGGGAAUCAGUCGAAAUCUGAAACUAAAUAUAAAAGGAAAACUCUCGAAAGCUGCAGCCU